UACGAGGGGGGCGAGCGUUGUUCGGAAUUAUUGGGCGUAAAGGGUGCGUAGGCGGUUCCGCAAGUCCUGUGUGAAAUCUUCGGGCUCAACUCGAAGUCUGCACGGGAAACUGCGGGGCUUGAGUGUGGGAGAGGUGAGUGGAAUUCCUGGUGUAGCGGUGAAAUGCGCAGAUAUCAGGAGGAACACCAAUGGCGAAGGCGACUUACUGGACACAUAUUGACGCUGAGGUGCGAAAGCGUGGGGAGCAAACAGG
rnacentral:rRNA from 1 species